rnacentral:tRNA from 1 species
AGUCUUAUGGUGUAAUGGUAGCACUACAGUUUUUGGUUCUGUCUGUCUAGGUUCGAAUCCUGGUAAGACUACUA